UUUACAGUAUGGCGUUCACUUGCCACUGCGGUGUGGAACUGACAGGAGUUAUACCCUUGUUUCAGCACCUGAGGCGGUGCGUCAAGCGCCGCCUCUUUCUUAUAAUAUAUUGUGACAAAUGUGGAGAAAGGCUGGUGGGAGGCCAGGCCGUGGCCGCACACCUGGCGGGUGCGGCCCAUCGAACCCGUUACUGGGAGGGCCGGCAAGUCGGGCUGCUGUUGCAGUCCGACUACCGGGACGCCAUGGAGCGUAUCCGGACCCUAUGAUGAUGAUGUAUGUAUGAAGGUCUGGAGCUAGCUGCCCUCUUCGGGAUGUGCCAUUUGUUUUCAAAAUUAUUUGUAAGUACUUGUAACAGGCGUAGUGUAGUAACUGUGUAUGCAGUGUAGUAACAGUGUGUAGUGUUUUGUGAUGGUCCUGAGCGGUCGUAAUGUGUUUUGUGAUGGUCCUGAGCAGUCGUAAUGUGUUGGGCUACUGAAGUACACUGCAUGAAGGGGUAUGCGUGGGUGCUUCGACAUAUUCUCGUGCUUCCUAAACCCUAGAUACGUGUAUAGCACUAUAACCUAGAUGUGUGUGUGUGUGUGUGUGUGUGUGUGCCCGCGCAUGCGUGCGUGUGCGUGCAUUGUGUUCUCUUCUACAGACUCAUCCAAGUCCAUUUAAAUAAAAGUGCAUUAUAGUAAACAGUAUUGUGUUUUGUUACAGUGAAUAUGUGGGGAAUGGUGGAUAUGCCUUAGUGUGACUGGAUACCCGCGGGUUGUGAC